AUCUUCUGAAUAUUGAAUUUGAGAAUUCACAAUCAAAAUUGAUCUUUCUCAUUACUUUCUGUUUAAUAAUUUUUUUUUUGUUUUUUAAUUUAAUUUUUGAACUUAACACAGUGUAUGUAAGUUGGGCCAAUUAGUCUCAAAAUCAAGCAUGUCAUCAAUUAAUUUAAUAGUUGAUUAGUACAAACAUCUAAGGUACAUUUCCUUAUCAAUUUCAUUGUAAAAAUUUUCAAUUUUCCUUUCAAUAUGUUUAAAAUAUUCAUGUUUCAACGUCAGCUGUCAACGUCAACGCAGAACAGAUAAAAGCAGAUUUGAAUAUCCGACCUUGUCAGUCAGCUGUUGUUACUAGGCCAAGGAUGGACGGGUGAUAUCGACACCCGGACCAUGAAAAAAGUUUAUAUGUUUUUUUUGUGCAACGUGUAUGUGGCCGUUUCUUUCUGUUUUUUUGCUGUUUGCUGUUGUACGGAGGACUAAGCUAGCAUUCAAAAUUUAAAAAUCAAAUGUACAUUCCUAAGAUGCACUUUUUUACACCUCUAUGUAGCGGUACUUUUUUAGUAUUUGACCAUUAGCUCCGAUGAUGACGUUUAUGUCGAAAGCGCUCAGCUAAGGAAAUAAAAUUAUUUACACACUUUGA